rnacentral:rRNA from 1 species
UGGAUAAUUCUUUUCUACACAUGUAGGAAAGCUGAAAGACGGUUUACGCUGUCACUUAUAGAUGGGCCCGCGGCGCAUUAGCUAGUUGGUGAGGUAACGGCUCACCAAGGCCACGAUGCGUAGCCGACCUGAGAGGGUGAUCGGCCACACUGGGACUGAGACACGGCCCAGACUCCUACGGGAGGCAGCAGUAGGGAAUCUUCCGCAAUGGACGAAAGUCUGACGGAGCAACGCCGCGUGAGUGAUGAAGGUUUUCGGAUCGUAAAACUCUGUUGUUAGGGAAGAACAAGUACGAGAGUAACUGCUUGUACCUUGACGGUACCUAACCAGAAAGCCACGGCUAACUACGUGCCAGCAGCCGCGGUAAUACGUAGGUGGCAAGCGUUGUCCGGAAUUAUUGGGCGUAAAGCGCGCGCAGGCGGUCCUUUAAGUCUGAUGUGAAAGCCCACGGCUCAACCGUGGAGGGUCAUUGGAAACUGGGGGACUUGAGUGCAGGAGAGAAGAGUGGAAUUCCACGUGUAGCGGUGAAAUGCGUAGAGAUGUGGAGGAACACCAGUGGCGAAGGCGACUCUUUGGCCUGUAACUGACGCUGAGGCGCG